CUGGUUGAUGGUGGUGGGAUGGAUGAUGUUGAAGAGUCAUGUUGUUUGCUUGAAGUGGCUGCCUCUUGAGCUUUGGUGAAGGACAUCACAGCGGUGGGAGCUGUGCUGCUUGGUUUGCUUGCAGAGAUACUCCCUUGCACCUGGCUGGUGGUGACUGUAAUAGUGGUGAUCUGCUUAGUUGUUUCUGGACUCACUGUGGUCGAAUGUGUAGUUUUAUCAUUAUUGCCAGAGCUGACACCGAACAGCAGCAGCGGGAGCAGCGGCAGCAGCAGCGGUGCCCGCAUGGUGCUCUGUGCGGCCGUCCCCGCUCCGGCUCCCGGCGCUCUCCCCGUUGGGCUCCCGCUGCCCUCCC
rnacentral:lncRNA from 1 species